rnacentral:lncRNA from 1 species
UGCGCAUGUGUGCCCAGUUUUGAAUUCUCCAUGCGAUCCAUGGUGGACCGUCAGAACUUGGCAUGGUCCACACAUCCAUCAUGGACCGAUCUGGACUAUGCACGAACAAUCAUAGUGCAUGGCUCUUCUUUGCAUGAUCUGAUGGUCAAAAAUGUGCUGAUACAUGAUUUUGCAUGAUCCAAGGGCUAGGGAAGGUUGCGAAAGAGAUCCAAGGAUCAAAAAAAAUUGUUGAGAACUUUUAAAAGCAGGAUUUAGAUAUAGACUGGGUUUUGGGUCUAUUAAAGGUGCCUGAUGGCCAGUAAAGCAUGGUGUGGUGGCUUUGAGC